rnacentral:rRNA from 1 species
AACACAUGCAAGUCGAGCGGUAGCACAGGGGAGCUUGCUCUCUGGGUGACGAGCGGCGGACGGGUGAGUAAUGUCUGGGAAACUGCCUGAUGGAGGGGGAUAACUACUGGAAACGGUAGCUAAUACCGCAUAACGUCGCAAGACCAAAGAGGGGGACCUUCGGGCCUCUUGCCAUCAGAUGUGCCCAGAUGGGAUUAGCUAGUAGGUGGGGUAAUGGCUCACCUAGGCGACGAUCCCUAGCUGGUCUGAGAGGAUGACCAGCCACACUGGAACUGAGACACGGUCCAGACUNNUACGGGAGGCAGCAGUGGGGAAUAUUGCACAAUGGGCGCAAGCCUGAUGCAGCCAUGCCGCGUGUGUUAAGAAGGCCUUCGGGUUGUAAAGCACUUUCAGCGAAGAGAGAAGUUGUGAACUUAAUACGUUCAUCAAUUGACGUUACUCGCAGAAGAAGCACCGGCUAACUCCGUGCCAACAGCCGCGGUAAUACGGAGGGUGCAAGCGUUAAUCGGAAUUACUGGGCGUAAAGCGCACGCAGGCGGUUUGUUAAGUCAGAUGUGAAAUCCCCGGGCUCAACCUGGGAACUGCAUUUGAAACUGGCAAGCUAGAGUCUCGUAGAGGGGGGGUAGAAUUCCAGGUGUAGCGGUGAAAUGCGUAGAGAUCUGGAGGGAUACCGGUGGCGAAGGCGGCCCCCUGGACGGAGACUGACGCUCACGUGCGAAAGC